UGCCCUCCCUCGCGCCUGCGCACGAGCCCGCGCGCCCUCUAGGACUUACCCAGAAGGCGCGGUGCGCUCCCGGGUCAGAAUGCCGGCCGGCCUCACGGGUUAAUGUGAGAUCAUACAGCAUCUGAGACUGAAGAUGUGAACGAAGCCAUAAGAAGGCUUCCUGGCCUUCUAAACAGCAGACUGUUUAGCAUUGAGAGAGCCCUGGACCCAACUGAGGCAUCAGAUCUUGCCUAAGGAGCAGUGGACAAAAUAUGAGGAGUUAGAACAGGACAAAUUCUCCCUUGAACUCUUAUCUGAAAGAGGUUAUUCGGGAAAGAAGAGAGAAGAAUGGGCAAAGAAGUGAACUUGUAGUUGAAAUCUGUGGAUGUGCCUGGUCUCAGCAUAUUUUUAUGAAGUUGGUUCAGCCUGAAUCACAAUUUAAGAAUUAUUUGCUCUGCAGAUGUCUCAUUUUAAAUAAAUGUUGGAAUUUCUGAAUUCAAACUCUUA